UUAUACGAUGAAUACAGGUAAACGCAAGUAUUCAAAGGAAGAGAUACUGAAGAAUUUUGAUGACUAGAAUCCUCAACGACUAUACGUCAGAUCCCGCUUGGCGGGAAAGAUAUAGUCUGAACCCUAUAGUGAUAUAGGG
rnacentral:autocatalytically_spliced_intron from 2 species